AUUGAACGCUGGCGGCAUGCUUUACACAUGCAAGUCGAACGGUAACAGGUCUUCGGAUGCUGACGAGUGGCGAACGGGUGAGUAAUGCAUCGGAACGUGCCCAGUCGUGGGGGAUAACGCAGCGAAAGCUGUGCUAAUACCGCAUACGAUCUAUGGAUGAAAGCGGGGGAUCGCAAGACCUCGCGCGAUUGGAGCGGCCGAUGUCAGAUUAGCUAGUUGGUGGGGUAAAGGGCCCACCAAGGCGACGAUCUGUAGCUGGUCUGAGAGGACGGACCAGCCACACUGGGGACUGAGACACGGCCCAGACUCCUACGGAGGCAGCAGUGGGGAAUUUUGGACAAUGGGCGCAAGCCUGAUCCAGCAAUGCCGCGUGCAGGAAGAA
rnacentral:rRNA from 1 species